rnacentral:rRNA from 1 species
UGGCGAAUAUUGGGCAAUGGGCGCAAGCCUGACCCAGCAACGCCGCGUGAGGGAAGAAGGCUUUCGGGUUGUAAACCUCUGUCCUUGGUGACGAAACAAAUGACGGUAGCCAAGGAGGAAGCCCCGGCUAACUACGUGCCAGCAGCCGCGGUAAUACGUAGGGGGCGAGCGUUGUCCGGAAUUACUGGGCGUAAAGGGUGCGUAUGUGGCCUUUUAAGUUGGAUGUGAAAUACCCGGGCUUAACUUGGGGGGUGCAUCUAAUACUGGAGGGCUAGAGUGCAGGAGAGGAAAGCGGAAUUCCUAGUGUAGCGGUGAAAUGCGUAGAUAUUAGGAGGAACACCAGUGGCGAAGGCGGCUUUCUGGACUGUAACUGACACUGAGGCACGAAAGCGUGGGGAGCAAACAGGAUUAGAUACCCUGGUAGUCCACGCGGUAAACGAUGAAUACUAGGUGUAGGGGGUAUCAACUCCCCCUGUGCCGGAGCUAACGCAAUAAGUAUUCCGCCUGGGGAGUACGGCCGCAAGGUUG